rnacentral:lncRNA from 1 species
UGAGUGAAUAUCCCACGACUGCAUAGUUUUCAUCUUUCAUCCAAGAACAAGUUCAAGCUGUCCAAGGUUACUCCAAGCCUAUCAAUAACCCAUUUUCAAACAUAUAUAAUCCAAGUUGGAGGAACCAUCCUAAUUUUUCUUGGAGAUCCCAACAGACUCAAACUCAAAUCCAAAUUCUUUCUGUGCAAAACUUUCAAAAUAAGCCCCA